rnacentral:rRNA from 1 species
GACGAACGCUGGCGGCGUGCCUAAUACAUGCAAGUUGAGCGCUGAAGGUUGGUACUUGUACCCACUGGAUGAGCAGCGAACGGGUGAGUAACGCGUGGGGAAUCUGCCUUUGAGCGGGGGACAACAUUUGGAAACGAAUGCUAAUACCGCAUAAAAACUUUAAACACAAGUUUUAAGUUUGAAAGAUGCAAUUGCAUCACUCAAAGAUGAUCCCGCGUUGUAUUAGCUAGUUGGUGAGGUAAAGGCUCACCAAGGCGAUGAUACAUAGCCGACCUGAGAGGGUGAGCGGCCACAUUGGGACUGAGACACGGCCCAAACUCCUACGGGAGGCAGCAGUAGGGAAUCUUCGGCAAUGGACGAAAGUCUGACCGAGCAACGCCGCGUGAGUGAAGAAGGUUUUCGGAUCGUAAAACUCUGUUGGUAGAGAAGAACGUUGGUGAGAGUGGAAAGCUCAUCAAGUGACGGUAACUACCCAGAAAGGGACGGCUAACUACGUG